UACGGGGGGGGGUAAGCGUUGUUCGGAAUUACUGGGCGUAAAGGGUCUGUAGGUGGCUUGCUAAGUCAGACGUGAAAUCCCUCAGCUUAACUGGGGAACUGCGUCUGAGACUGGCGAGCUUGAGUGCAGGAGAGGAACGCGGAAUUCCAGGUGUAGCGGUGAAAUGCGUAGAUGAUCUGGAGGAACACCGGUGGCGAAGGCGGUUCGUCCUGGGAAGUA
rnacentral:rRNA from 1 species